GUAUCUGUAGCCUCAGUGGUUAGGAGCAUCCGACCAGUGUACGGAAGUUUCAUGGGUUUGAUUCCCGUCGGGUACU